rnacentral:rRNA from 1 species
GAUGAACGCUAGCUACAGGCUUAACACAUGCAAGUCGAGGGGUCUUUUGGAGCUUGCUUUAAAAGACGACCGGCGCACGGGUGAGUAACGCGUAUCCAACCUGCCCUUCAUAUUGGGAUAGCCUUCCGAAAGGAAGAUUAAUACCGAAUAACAUGAUAGAGUUGCCUGAUUUUAUCAUGAAAGCUCCGGCGAUGAAGGAUGGGGAUGCGUUCCGUUAGGUAGUAGGCGGGGUAACGGCCCACCGAGCCGACGAUGGAUAGGGGUUCUGAGAGGAAGGUCCCCCACACUGGAACUGGGACACGGUCCAGACUCCUACGGGAGGCAGCAGUGAGGAAUAUUGGUCAAUGGGCGCAAGCCUGAACCAGCCAAGUAGCGUGAAGGAUGACUGCCCUAUGGGUUGUAAACUUCUUUUAUACGGGAACAAACCCUGGUACGUGUACCAGAUUGCGUGUACCGUAUGAAUAAGCAUCGGCUAACUCCGUGCCAGCAGCCGCCGUAACAC